AACACUGUUAGAAUCCACUAUGAUGACAGUGGGUUUCUGAUUCUUCGUAGUUAAGGGUCAGACACAUGACCUUAGUAUUGUGGUAACCGUAUGAAGAUAGUACCUCUGAGACCUAUUUGUCAGGCAGGCAAACCUCUCUUGCUGACAUCCUGACCUUCAGGCCUCCUAGUCAUACUUUAAUAAACUUAAAUCUUAAGUGCAAUAUUUUGCGUUAAGUUCAGUUUUAGAAGCAAUUCUAAGUAAGCAGAGUUUAAAUCUCUAACAAACUUGAUAAAAAAAAGAGCAAGAUAUAAGAUACAAAAACAUCUAGAUACAAGUUAACGUAUACUGGUUUUAAUCCUUAAUUUAACUCGUUUUACUACCAACAUAUAAUUAAACCAUACCCUUAUUGCUCAAGAUUAAAUCUUAUAGGUUGUACUUCAUUCAGCAAGUUUAUUGAUAUCUACUACUCACUAAACACCUUUUU
rnacentral:lncRNA from 1 species